UACGUAGGGACCGAGUGUUGUCCGGAAUCAUUGGGCGUAAAGAGCGUGUAGGCGGCCACUUAAGUCCUGCGUGAAAUCUUGCGGCUCAACCGCAAGCGGUCGUGGGAAACUGGGUGGCUAGAGUGCGGGAGAGGAGAGUGGAAUUCCUGGUGUAGCGGUGGAAUGCGCAGAUAUCAGGAAGAACACCCGUGGCGAAGGCGGCUCUCUGGAACGCAACUGACGCUGAGACGCGAAAGCGUGGGGAGCAAACAGG
rnacentral:rRNA from 1 species